GAUGAACGCUAGCGGCAGGCUUAACACAUGCAAGUCGAGGGGUAACAUUGGUGCUUGCACCAGAUGACGACCGGCGCACGGGUGAGUAACGCGUAUGUAACCUACCUAUCACAGGGGGAUAGCCCGGAGAAAUUCGGAUUAAUACCGCAUAGUUUUGAGAUAUUGCAUGAUAUUUCAAAUAAAACUUCGGUGGUGAUAGAUGGACAUGCGUAUGAUUAGUUAGUUGGUGAGGUAACGGCUCACCAAGGCGACGAUCAUUAGGGGUUCUGAGAGGAAGGUCCCCCACACUGGUACUGAGACACGGACCAGACUCCUACGGGAGCAGCAGUGAGGAAUAUUGGUCAAUGGACGGAAGUCUGAACCAGCCAUGCCGCGUGCAGGAUGACUGCCCCUAUGGGUUUGUAAACUGCUUUUCUGAAGGAAGAAAGGUACCUACGUGUAGGUAUUUGCCGGUACUUCAGG
rnacentral:rRNA from 1 species